UACGUAGGGUGCGAGCGUUAAUCGGAAUUACUGGGCGUAAAGGGUGCGCAGGCGGUUUUGUAAGUCAGGUGUUAAAGCCCCGGGCUUAACCUGGGAAUGGCAUUGGAAACUGGCGAACUGGAGUGUGGCAGAGGGGGGUGGAAUUCCGCGUGUAGCAGUGAAAUGCGUAGAGAUGCGGAGGAACACCGAUGGCGAAGGCAGCCCCCUGGGCUAACACUGACGCUCAGGCACGAAAGCGUGGGGAGCAAACGGG
rnacentral:rRNA from 1 species